GGGUUCAUAGCUCAGUGGUAGAACAUUUGACUACGGAUUCGGAGGUUAUUGGUUUAAACUCGAUUGGUUCCU